CCAGUCCAUCCUGACAGCUGCCA
rnacentral:siRNA from 1 species